CCUACGGGAGGCAGCAGUAAGGAAUAUUGGUCAAUGGAGGCAACUCUGAACCAGCCAUGCCGCGUGCAGGAAGAAGGCCCUAUGGGUCGUAAACUGCUUUUGUACCAGAGAAAACCCGAGUACGUGUACUCGGUUGAUAGUAUGGUAAGAAUAAGCAUCGGCUAACUUCGUGCCAGCAGCCGCGGUAAGACGAAGGAUGCAAGCGUUAUCCGGAUUCAUUGGGUUUAAAGGGUGCGUAGGCGGACUGAUAAGUCAGUGGUGAAAUCUCUCGGCUUAACCGAGAAACUGCCAUUGAUACUGUUAGUCUAGAGUAUAGAUGACGUUGGCGGAAUAUGACAUGUAGUGGUGAAAUACUUAGAUAUGUCAUAGAACACCGAUUGCGAAGGCAGCUAACGAAACUAUAAACUGACGCUGAGGCACGAAAGUGCGGGGAUCAAACAGGAUUAGAUACCCUGGUAGUCCGCACCGUAAACGAUGAUUACUCGUUGUUGGCAAUAUGACCGUCAGCGACCAAGCGAAAGCGAUAAGUAAUCCACCUGGGGAGUACGCCGGCAACGGUGAAACUCAAAUGAAUUGACGGCGAGAGAGAGCGACGGACGACGACGAGGGAGGAGG
rnacentral:rRNA from 1 species